rnacentral:lncRNA from 1 species
AUGUCCUCUCCCAAGCAGCCCAGGAGAACAGGGAAUGGGGGCUGUGGUCAGUCUAUAGCACUCCAUCUCUGCCGUUCCUUCACGGUCACUCUCUGCCCCUGCUCCACGUGGGGUCCCUCCCAUGGGCAGCAGCUCUUCAAGAACUGCUCCCACACGGCUCCGUACCACGGGGUCCAUCCCCCAGGAGCAAACUGCUCCAGCACGGGUCCCCCACAGGCGGCAGCUCCCCCCAGACCCCCUGCUCCUGCGUGGGCUCCUCUCCACGGGCUGCAGCUCCGGCCCGGGGCCUGCUCCUGCGGGGGCUCUCCAUGGGCCGCAGCCUCCUCCAGGCCACAUCCACCUGCUCCACCGGGGGCUCCUCCACGGGCUGCAGCGUGGAGAUCUGCUCCGUGUGGGACCCAUGGGCUGCAGGGGGACAGCCUGCUCCGCCAGGGGCCUCUCCGCAGGCCGCAGGGGAACUGCUGCUGCCUGCCUGGAGCACCUCCUGCCCUCCUGCUGCACUCACCUUGGGGGCUGCAGGGCUGUUCCUCACUCCUCUCUCUCCCAGCUGCUGUUCCAGCAUUUUAUUUUUUUUUUCUUCCUUUCUUAAAUAUGCCCUCAGAAAGGCACAGACAACAUCACUUAUUGGCUCGGCUCUGGCCAGCAGCAGGGCCCUUAUCUAACAUGGAGCAGCUUCUGGAUUCUUCUCAGAGAAGCCAUCUUUAUUGCUCUCCGCUACCAAAACUUUGCCACGUAAACUCACUACAACUCCAUGGAAAUAGUAAAACUGAUGUGAAACUAAAAUACAGUCACAUGAUCACAGCACAAGUAGCAGGCUGGGAAGCUAACCAGGUAUUGUCAAUGCAGCAUCGCCUUGCAGCUGGGAACAGACUUGAUGAGCUGAUUCCUGGUGACACAGCUUUUAAAAUACAGCAGAUAAUGUGAGCUUGUUGGACUAAGACUACAAGCAGUUGAUGCUGUAUAUGGUGAGGUGGUGAGAGGUUUAACGCUCCUCCAGCUCCAGCCCUACCUCCAGUUCCAGCUCCAGAUCAGAACAGGAUUAAAAUUCAGCAGCAUGCAAUCUCAGUGGUUUGUUUCAAAAUAUUUAGGUUUUUUGCAAUGAAUAUAUCACGUGUGCUUGGAGUUAUCAAGGCCUACAACACAGUUAAUCAUUCAUUACAUACAUUUUAUGAAAAUCAGAGCCCAAUUCAUGAUAUUUUGUAAACGGUGUAAAGAAGUAAUGGCAAAUUGUUUCUAAUGGUCUUCCUGACCUUGCCUCACUCUGAGCUGGGAUAAACUGACAUGAAGAUCUGUGUUCCUACAUGUUUCAUUAAAAAAAAAGAUUUUCAAAUGCAAAAUUAAUUGCUGUGUCACU